rnacentral:rRNA from 1 species
GUCUGAUGGAGCAACGCCGCGUGAACGAUGAAGGCCUUCGGGUCGUAAAGUUCUGUUGUAAGGGAAGAACAAGUGCCGCAGGCAAUGGCGGCACCUUGACGGUACCUUGCGAGAAAGCCACGGCUAACUACGUGCCAGCAGCCGCGGUAAUACGUAGGUGGCAAGCGUUGUCCGGAAUUAUUGGGCGUAAAGCGCGCGCAGGCGGCCUCUUAAGUCUGAUGUGAAAGCCCCCCGGCUCAACCGGGGAGGGCCAUUGGAAACUGGGAGGCUUGAGUAUAGGAGAGAAGAGUGGAAUUCCACGUGUAGCGGUGAAAUGCGUAGAGAUGUGGAGGAACACCAGUGGCGAAGGCGACUCUUUGGCCUAUAACUGACGCUGAGGCGCGAAAGCGUGGGGAGCAAACAGGAUUAGAUACCCUGGUAG